rnacentral:rRNA from 1 species
UACGUAGGGUGCAAGCGUUGUCCGGAAUUAUUGGGCGUAAAGAGCUCGUAGGCGGUUUGUCGCGUCCGCUGUGAAAACUCAGGGCUUAACCCUGAGCCUGCAGUGGGUACGGGGCAGACUAGAGUGUGGUAGGGGAGAUCGGAAUUCCUGGUGUAGCGGUGGAAUGCGCAGAUAUCAGGAGGAACACCGGUGGCGAAGGCGGAUCUCUGGGCCAUAACUGACGCUGAGGAGCGAAAAGCAUGGGGGAGCGAACAGG